rnacentral:rRNA from 1 species
UUUUAUGGAGAGUUUGAUCCUGGCUCAGGAUAAACGCUGGCGGCGUGCCUAAUACAUGCAAGUCGAGCGAACGGACGAGAAGCUUGCUUCUCUGAUGUUAGCGGCGGACGGGUGAGUAACACGUGGAUAACCUACCUAUAAGACUGGGAUAACUUCGGGAAACCGGAGCUAAUACCGGAUAAUAUUUUGAACCGCAUGGUUCAAAAGUGAAAGACGGUCUUGCUGUCACUUAUAGAUGGAUCCGCGCUGCAUUAGCUAGUUGGUAAGGUAACGGCUUACCAAGGCAACGAUGCAUAGCCGACCUGAGAGGGUGAUCGGCCACACUGGAACUGAGACACGGUCCAGACUCCUACGGGAGGCAGCAGUAGGGAAUCUUCCGCAAUGGGCGAAAGCCUGACGGAGCAACGCCGCGUGAGUGAUGAAGGUCUUCGGAUCGUAAAACUCUGUUAUUAGGGAAGAACAUAUGUGUAAGUAACUGUGCACAUCUUGACGGUACCUAAUCAGAAAGCCACGGCUAACUACGUGCCAGCAGCCGCGGUAAUACGUAGGUGGCAAGCGUUAUCCGGAAUUAUUGGGCGUAAAGCGCGCGUAGGCGGUUUUUUAAGUCUGAUGUGAAAGCCCACGGCUCAACCGUGGAGGGUCAUUGGAAACUGGAAAACUUGAGUGCAGAAGAGGAAAGUGGAAUUCCAUGUGUAGCGGUGAAAUGCGCAGAGAUAUGGAGGAACACCAGUGGCGAAGGCGACUUUCUGGUCUGUAACUGACGCUGAUGUGCGAAAGCGUGGGGAUCAAACAGGAUUAGAUACCCUGGUAGUCCACGCCGUAAACGAUGAGUGCUAAGUGUUAGGGGGUUUCCGCCCCUUAGUGCUGCAGCUAACGCAUUAAGCACUCCGCCUGGGGAGUACGACCGCAAGGUUGAAACUCAAAGGAAUUGACGGGGACCCGCACAAGCGGUGGAGCAUGUGGUUUAAUUCGAAGCAACGCGAAGAACCUUACCAAAUCUUGACAUCCUUUGACAACUCUAGAGAUAGAGCCUUCCCCUUCGGGGGACAAAGUGACAGGUGGUGCAUGGUUGUCGUCAGCUCGUGUCGUGAGAUGUUGGGUUAAGUCCCGCAACGAGCGCAACCCUUAAGCUUAGUUGCCAUCAUUAAGUUGGGCACUCUAAGUUGACUGCCGGUGACAAACCGGAGGAAGGUGGGGAUGACGUCAAAUCAUCAUGCCCCUUAUGAUUUGGGCUACACACGUGCUACAAUGGACAAUACAAAGGGCAGCGAAACCGCGAGGUCAAGCAAAUCCCAUAAAGUUGUUCUCAGUUCGGAUUGUAGUCUGCAACUCGACUACAUGAAGCUGGAAUCGCUAGUAAUCGUAGAUCAGCAUGCUACGGUGAAUACGUUCCCGGGUCUUGUACACACCGCCCGUCACACCACGAGAGUUUGUAACACCCGAAGCCGGUGGAGUAACCUUUUAGGAGCUAGCCGUCGAAGGUGGGACAAAUGAUUGGGGUGAAGUCGUAACAAGGUAGCCGUAUCGGAAGGUGCGGCUGGAUCACCUCCUUUCUAA